UACGGGGGGAGCAAGCGUUGUUCGGAUUUACUGGGCGUAAAGGGCGCGUAGGCGGCCAGCACAAUUCAGUUGUGAAAUCUCCGAGCUUAACUCGGAAAGGUCAACUGAUACUGUGCGGCUAGAGUGCGGAAGGGGCAACUGGAAUUCCUGGUGUAGCGGUGAAAUGCGCAGAUAUCAGGAGGAACACCGGUGGCGAAGGCGGUUCUCUGGGAAUGUCCUGACGCUGAGGAGCGAAAGUGUGGGGAGCGAACAGG
rnacentral:rRNA from 1 species